CCUACGGGUGGCAGCAGUGAGGAAUAUUGGUCAAUGGACGAGAGUCUGAACCAGCCAAGUAGCGUGAAGGAUGACUGCCCUAUGGGUUGUAAACUUCUUUUAUAUGGGAAUAAAAUGUUCCACGUGUGGGAUUUUGUAUGUACCAUAUGAAUAAGGAUCGGCUAACUCCGUGCCAGCAGCCGCGGUAAUACGGAGGAUCCGAGCGUUAUCCGGAUUUAUUGGGUUUAAAGGGAGCGUAGGUGGAUUGUUAAGUGAGUUGUGAAAGUUUGCGGCUCAACCGUAAAAGUGCAGUUGAAACUGGCAGUCUUGAGUACAGUAGAGGUGGGCGGAAUUCGUGGUGUAGCGGUGAAAUGCUUAGAUAUCACGAAGAACUCCGAUUGCGAAGGCAGUUCACUGGACUGCAACUGACACUGAGGCUCGAAAGUGUGGGUAUCAAACAGGAUUAGAUACCCGUGUAGUC
rnacentral:rRNA from 1 species